AUGUGUGCUACGCAGGUUCAUGGCAUGAUCAAGAUAGUUUUGGCAUGGUACAAGUGGAUUUUCCUAGCGUUGUCAAUAAGUAAUUGCAAUGGUAUGAUAUUUGGCUUAGUUCGAACAUGGUUGAAGAAGGUAGAGUAUUACAAGGGUUUAAGGCAUAAAACUUGUCAACUUGUCAUGGAAGGAAGCAUGAAGUUUAGAGAAGAUUGA